AACUACCUCUAGAUGUUCCACAAUGACAGGAAUGAAUCAUUCCUACUUCUAUCCCCUGUGCCUAAACAGAGCCUAGUACCAUAGGCAAGAGGAGAGCUUGGGAGAUGAGCCAUUUCAGGAGGGCUGGGGUGAAACCAAGCCCUGGUGCCACUCAGAGUGGAGAAGCUGGAGGUGAGAAGUGCACCGGGUCGGGAGCCACGAAGCUGACUAUACUACUGUGAAAAAAAUAGGCCAGGAAAAAACCUACCUCCCAGAAAGAAAGACCCUUCAAGGAAAACGUAUUCUCCCCAUAUGGUUCCAGAGGGAAAACGGACAUACAAUAAAGAGGACUAAUACAUUCAA